GUCCCUCACUAUCGCUGCAGUAAAGUGAAACGGACGUACCAGCACAGGGUGGUUGUAGUCGAUGGCCUUGACGUCAGGCAAGUUGUUGGACAGCCUCUCCAGGUAGUAGCGAGCCAGGAGCUGCUGCAGGACGAAGAAGAAGCUCUCGCCGCGGUACUUGUACUCGGGAAGGCUGUAGUUGGCGGGGUUCAGCCAGAAGGGGUACUUGUAGCUCAGGUAUGCGUAGAAGGAGUUGAGGCCGA